GUCGAUGCUUUCGGCCGCGAGUACUUCGACUGCGGGUGGGCUUGCGGCCUGCCCGCCGACCACUACCUGCCGGGCUUCAUCGAGAAGCACAUAGGCCGACAUGUGAGGGCGGAUGAGCGGGCAGCAGCAGCUGCGGCGGCAGCGGCAGAUCAGGCAGCGGUCGAGGCACCAGCUCGCCGCCGGCGCAGAGGCGGACGACGCCGCGCCAGAGGCGGCCGCUAGUUACGUAUGGAUCGUAGAAGCAGGGCCGCCACUGAGCCCCAGGAUUAAUCCAAGUGCACAUAAAGAACAUCGUGCGAAGUAGAUUCAUCAAAUUCUUUGUUGUCAUACAAACGUGUCUUGUUUCUGCUACGUUUGUCAUACAACUUGUCUUGGGAAACUGGCUUGUUCCAGCUUUGACAAAUCGAAAACAGCUGCUAUCUUGCUGUUACAA